rnacentral:rRNA from 1 species
UAAGAAUCUUCCGCAAUGGACGAAAGUCUGACGGAGCGACGUCGCGUGGGUGAAGAAGGCGGAAACGUUGUAAAGCCCUUUUGCAGAUGAGGAAUAAGGCGGGAAGGGAAUGUCCUGCUGAUGACGGUAGUCUGAGAAUAAGCCCCGGCUAAUUACGUGCCAGCAGCCGCGGUAACACGUAUGGGGCGAGCGUUGUUCGGAAUUAUUGGGCGUAAAGGGCAUGCAGGCGGUUCUAUAAGUCUGGUGUGCAAGACCUCGGCUUAACUGAGGGAACGCACUGGAAACUGUGGGACUAGAGUACCGGAGGGGGAGUUGGAAUUCCAGGUGUAGGGGUGAAAUCUGUAGAUAUCUGGAAGAACAUCAGUGGCGAAGGCGAACUCCUGGCCAGGUACUGACGCUGAGAUGCGAAAGCGUGGGGAGCAAAC